rnacentral:rRNA from 1 species
AUUGAACGCUGGCGGCAGGCCUAACACAUGCAAGUCGAGCGGAGCGGCGGACGGGUGAGUAAUGCCUAGGAAUCUGCCUGGUCGUGGGGGAUAACGUCCUGAAACGGGCGCUAAUACAGCAUACUCUCAGCUGGGCCUAGGUCGGUUUAGCUAGUUGGUGGGGUAAAGGCCUACCAAGGCGACGAUCCGUAGCUGGUCUGAGUGGAUGAUCAGUCACACUGGAACUGAGACACGGUCCAGACUCCUACGGGAGGCAGCAGUGGGGAAUAUUGGACAAUGGGCGAAAGCCUGAUCCAGCCAUGCCGCGUGUAUGAAGAAGGUCUUCGGGUUGUAAAGCACUUUAAGUUGGGAGGCGUUACCAACAGAAUAAGCACCGGCUAACUUCGUGCCAGCAGCCGCGGUAAUAC